UACAGAGGUGGCAAGCGUUGUUCGGAAUUACUGGGCGUAAAGGGCGUGUAGGCGGUCUUCUAAGUCAGACGUGAAAUCCCCCGGCUUAACCUGGGAACUGCGUCUGAUACUGGGAGGCUUGAGUAUGGGAGAGGGAUGUAGAAUUCCAGGUGUAGCGGUGAAAUGCGCAGAUAUCAGGAGGAACACCAAUGGCGAAGGCAGCACUCGUGGGACGGUACUGACGCUGAGGUGCGAAAGCGUGGGGGAGCGAACAGG
rnacentral:rRNA from 1 species